GACGAACGCUGGCGGCGUGCCUAAUACAUGCAAGUCGAACGCAGUGGGGACGGGUGAGUAACACGUGGGUAACCUCCCAUCAGAGGGGAUAACACUUGGAAACAGGUGCUAAACCGAUACUGAUGGAUGGACCCGCGGUGCAUUCGCUAGGUGGUGAGGUAACGGCUCACCAAGGCCACGAUGCAUAGCCGACCUGAGAGGGUGUUCGGCGACACUAGGAGUGAGACAGGGCCCAGAGUCCGACGGGAGGCAGCAGUAGGGAAUCUGCGGCAAUGGACGAAAGUCUGACCGAGCAACGCGCCGUGAGUGAAGGAGGUUUUCGGAUCGUAAAACUCUGGUGUUAGAGAAGCGGUAUCUAACCAGAAAGCCAAGGAUAACUACGGGCCAGCAGCCGCGGUAAUUC
rnacentral:rRNA from 1 species